rnacentral:lncRNA from 1 species
GAUGGAGUCUGACGGCAGUGCUGAAAGGUCCAAAUGGCUAGAGGGAGAGGGUGAAUAGCUGUUGGUACCCCUUAUCUUAUAAUUAUAAACAUAAUUUUAAUAAAUAAAAUAAAUAGAUGGUAGGGCUUUGAACUAACCUUUCCACAAGUUUUGUUGCAAAUAUCAAUUUUAGGUAUGACACGUGGAAAGGCGCAAAAGACACGAGAAAGCGCACAUCAAGAAAGCGUAUUCAAAAAAGGCGCAAAUCAAAGAUAAAUGGAAAAGCGCACCAAAACACCGAACUGGAUCCAUCCGUAACCACGGGAAGGAUCAGGGCCAA